rnacentral:rRNA from 1 species
GAUGAACGCUGGCGGCGUGCUUAACACAUGCAAGUCGAACGGAAAGGCCCAAGCUUGCUUGGGUACUCGAGUGGCGAACGGGUGAGUAACACGUGGGUGACCUGCCCUGCACUUCGGGAUAAGCCUGGGAAACUGGGUCUAAUACCGGAUAGGACCACCUCUUGCAUGUUGUGGUGGAGAGUUUUUGCGGUGUGGGAUGAGCACGCGGCCUAUCAGCUUGUUUGGGGGGUAGUGGCCUACCAAGGCGUCGACGGGUGGCCGGCCUGAGAGGGUGUACGGCCACAAUUGGGGAGAGAGAUGGGGCAGACACCUGCGGGGGGGAGAGGAGGGGGAAAUAGCACAAAGUGGGCGAGCCUGUGGCGGAGAAGCGGCGUGGGGGGUGAGGGCGUUCGGGGUGUGAACUCCUUUCGCUAGGGAGGAAGCGUGUGUGUGACGGUACCUGGUGAAGAAGCACCGGCUAACUACGUG